ACAUCUGACUGCGGAGAUGGAGUGCAGGGCCCUCUGGUUUCGCCCAGGUGGACUAGCUGUGGGAAGUACACGGUGUAGAAGGGGAUGCUGAAUGCGCCCAGCUGCAGUUUUUCAAUAUUCUUCUUUAACUGUGGAUGCCAGAACUUGACAUUCCAGCAGGAGUUGCACCAGUGCCAAAUACAGAGGUGUGCCACACUUUCCACUUGUGACCUUAAACGACGUAAGCUCCAGCUCCUAGAGUCAUAUGAUUAGUUGACAAUCUCAGCUUCCCUUUUUAAACAAGGAUUUUGCACCCUGCUCAUCAUUGUAGUUUCUGGACAAGUACAGCUGGAUCUGGGGGAAACUUACUUAACAGGGAGGUGAACAAAUUUAAGCCCCUAAAAAUGCUUUUUGUAACUCAAAAAGCAGAUAUAUCAAACAUCUUUCACUGAUGAAAGCUCUGAUCCUGUUUCCUUCUGGUGACUGUGCAAGCGAUGCAGCCCUAGAGUUAUUACUGUUUGGGUCUGAUCUUUGGAUUUGAACCACUGGAGAUCUGAGAAGCUUGAGGGGGAGGUUUGCCUGAAAAGAAGUCAUGAAAUCUAUGGCUAGGGUGUAUGUUCCAUUUCCCUCUUCCAGAUGAAAUGUCAAACCUACGCUUGUGUGUGUAUGUACAUAUGUGUGUGUAUCAUGACAUCCAUAAUCCUGCCUCAGUAUGGGGGAGGUACUGAUGACCCAUUGAGGUCUCUUCCAGCCCUAUGUUUCUAUGACACAAAAUAUAGGUUGUAAUAUAUCUGCAGGUAAAGGGAAUUCUCCUUUAGCUUAAGUAAAAGGGCUCUGCAUUUUUGGAGCAGAAGGUUGUUUCCAUUAAGAUCCAUAAAGUUCCCACAGCCCUGUAGCAUAACUGAUGCUGCCUGAAAAAGUCAUGCAUUUGCCACAAACUCUAGAAGCAAGCACCCAUUCCCAUUCAGUGCUUAGCCUCACUAUUGAACCUUCCAGUAUGGUGCUGAUGGCAUGCUAAGUGAGUGAUAGUCACAUUGUUCAGCCAGCAUAAGACCUAGAUACCACUUAAUGCCUCCUAAAAUCCUAUAUUCAGGCAUUAAAAUUUGAUUUAAUUCCAGCCAAUGGGAUGUAUAAUAUGGAGCACGGUCCACUGGGAACAGGAUUAAUGUAUAUAUUUCACACAGGCCACCAGACAGUGGUCAGGUGAUAGUGACUUGGGGUUCUAAGAGGUUAAAGGCACAAGUGACUGUUACAAAUUUCCUGAGCCACUGGUCACCACUGAAACAAAAUACCUAAGCCUAAAUCUUUCCAUGUAUACAUUCGACAUAUGUUUCUAUAAAAUAUAAAGUGGCACAUUCUCAUUCCUGCCAAUUUAUUUUUCUUCCAUAAACUUUUAGAAAAGGAAUAGGCAGUGGUUCAAAUAAAUUGCUCUGUUUUCUCUUCCAAACAUGAAGACCAAUAUUCAGUUGCUUUUCUGCUUCAUUUCACUGCAACUUCUUUGGUACUGCAGGCUGAGAAGGCAGCGCUCUUUCAAGUAUCAGCAUUCCAUCCAAACACUGCCAUUCUAUCAGGUAUGUACCAUGCUGUGUAUAUUGUAUACUGAGCAAUAAUGAAGCCCUCAAAGUAGCAACUCAGUAUAUUCUAGUAAAGCAGAGCUACCACCGACCA